rnacentral:rRNA from 1 species
UACAGAGGUCCCAAGCGUUGUUCGGAUUUAUUGGGCGUAAAGGGCGCGUAGGCGGCGGAGUAAGUUGGGUGUGAAAUCCCGGGGCUCAACCUCGGAAUUGCAUUCAAUACUGCUUCGCUAGAGUACUGGAGAGGAGACUGGAAUUUACGGUGUAGCAGUGAAAUGCGUAGAUAUCGUAAGGAAGGCCGGUGGCGAAAGCGAGUCUCUGGACAGUUACUGACGCUGAUGCACGAAGGCCAGGGGAGCAAACGGG